AUUCUUAUUAAUAAGUUUGAAUUUUUAAUUUGAUACAGGAGAAAAUGUAGUGUUUAAACCAGUAGCGGGUAACUUUAAACAUGGGUUCUAUGGGAAACCAACUAUUUGAUAAAUGUCUCAUGAAUUUGAAAUGAUGACAAGUGUUGAGACUUAAUUUAUAUGGUUAUGGGUAGCCUAACAGAGGUUAUUUUGGAAUGGAAUCGAGAAGAAUUUGAUAGAAUAGGACCCGAUUUUUGGGUAGCUAAUGAACUUGAUACUUAGACUCAUGUUUGUGAUAAUAUAGAUUGAUCGAAAGGAGUCGUACGGACUGAUUGAAUUGACGGCUUGGUAUUUCGACACGAGUACGAGACCGCAGGUGACGUUGGUGAGGAUUAUGGUAGCUAGAGAGCACGAGUUGAAAGUUCCUGGUGAGCCCCGCACUUGUCCGCGUGGGCGAAGAGUCUAUUAUUUAUUAUAGUCUUUCUUUUGAACCCUUAGAGUUGCUCCAUAGUCAUUUGAUUUAUUCCAUGAGUAUUCUUUAUUCAUUAUAGACUGGUGACUAGUAUUAGACGUUUUUCCCGUAUUUCAGAGAUGUUUUAGUAUCAUUAUGUUGAAAAAGGGUUGAUUGCAUUUAGUUUGGUUGAGAUUGGAUGUUUCUAUUGUUGAUUUUGAGACAGGAAAGUUUUGGAUAGUCAUAAAAACAGGGGAAACUCUAUCCGAUUUUCUAUAAA